CAUAAUUUCACUUCCCUUCGGGUCGUGAAAUUAAAAUUGUCAAAGUGUCACUCGGGAUACAAAUCGAUAAUUUUAGAGCUCUCGUGUAGUUACUACUGAUAAUUAUUUCUAAAACCGCCGUCCACCUUUUUCUUUCACGUUCAACUGCGUCUUUCUUUCGCGUCUUUUUUUAGAUCUACAUAUUGCUUUAUAGAAUUUAAGUGACUACAACUUUUCUCGUGUCUUUCUAAAAACGUAAUGAAUGAAGGUCUUUCUUGUCGCAAACGUAAUGAAGAAAAUUAGGUUUUUGAAAAUCAUCAUCACAUAUAGCUCCCCAAACGGCAAUUAUACUUUUGUCAACAGAAUCGGACACACUGAUAAAUUUUUACAAGAUGGUGAUUCAUUGUCACUCGACAUUCAAUAUUGGUCAAAAUAGUGUACACGUCACCUUUUUGAAAUUAUUGUCGGAAUAAUAUAAAUGAGUUUCGUAUUUUCAUUUGAAUAUUGUAGGUGUUAAGCAUUAAUAGCCUUCGUAAAAAAAUACCGGAAGUGCACUUUUAUGUUUUUGUUAUUUUUAGUUUUUUUAAAGACAAAAUGCUCCAGUUAGCUUAGCAAGACAAAUGAGCUUAACAAGUGUUCGGCUUGCGCCCCUUGGACUUGGCGCCCGGGUGCCUCGCACCCCUUGCACCCCCGGGUUAAGACGGCCCUGCCGUCUACUGUCA
rnacentral:lncRNA from 1 species